rnacentral:rRNA from 1 species
UAGCAUAUCAAUAAGCGGAGGAAAAGAAACCAACAGGGAUUGCCCCAGUAACGGCGAGUGAAGCGGCAACAGCUCAAAUUUGAAAUCUGGCCCCCCAGGGGGUCCGAGUUGUAAUUUGCAGAGGGUGCUUUGGCGUCGGUGGCAGUCUAAGUUCCUUGGAACAGGACAUCGCAGAGGGUGAGAAUCCCGUAUGUGGCCGCCAACCUUCGCCGUGUAAAGCCCCUUCGACGAGUCGAGUUGUUUGGGAAUGCAGCUCUAAAUGGGAGGUAAAUUUCUUCUAAAGCUAAAUACCGGCCAGAGACCGAUAGCGCACAAGUAGAGUGAUCGAAAGAUGAAAAGCACUUUGGAAAGAGAGUCAAAUAGCACGUGAAAUUGUUGAAAGGGAAGCGCUUGCAGCCAGACUUGCCCGCGGUCGCUCACCCAGGCUCUCGCCUGGGGCACUCUUCCGCGGGCAGGCCAGCAUCAGUUUGGGCGGCCGGACAAAGACCUCUGUCAUGUAUCUUCCUUCGGGAUGACCUUAUAGGGGAGGUGUAAUGCGGCCAGCCCGGACUGAGGUCCGCGCCUUUGGCUAGGAUGCUGGCGUAAUGGCUGUAAGCGGCCCGUCUUGAAACACGGACCAAGGAGUCUAACAUCUAUGCGAGUGUUUGGGUGUCAAGCCCGGGCGCGCAAUGAAAGUGAACGGAGGUGGGAACCCUCGGGUGCACCAUCGACCGAUCCUGAUGUCUUCGGAUGGAUUUGAGUAAGAGCAUAGCUGUUGGGACCCGAAAGAUGGUGAACUAUGCUUGAAUAGGGUGAAGCCAGAGGAAACUCUGGUGGAGGCUCGCAGCGGUUCUGACGUGCAAAUCGAUCGUCAAAUUUGGGCAUAGGGGCGAAAGACUAAUCGAACCAUCUAGUAGCUGGUUCCUGCCGAUUUCCCCCU